CAAAAGAAGCCAGAAAUAUUACGUGGGGAUGCCAGGAAACUUGGUUUGGUUUUUUUUUAAUUUAGGGUAUGUUUUCUGUAGGAGACUGGAAUUUUAUUUUUUUUUUUAGUAAUUAGGAUAAUAAAUUCCUUUCCUGAUUACAUGUGUUGCUUUACAACAAGCAUUUGCAUGCAGGUAGCUCAAAUUAGUCUCAGGAUUCAAAGUAAUCAUACAGCAUUCGUUUAAUCAAUGAACGAACCUCUUGCUGGGGUGAUUCCCUCUGCCUCCCUCCUUCCCUCUCCCUUCUUUCAGUCUGCGACAGAAGAGGCUGUUCAAGGUUUUACAGUGCAGCAAACACUAUCACGAAGAAGCAGACAAUUGAUAAGAGGUUGCCUGGGAAACCCUAUGCCCAUAGAUUUUCCUUUUGCUGCAGUAUACACUCCUAGGUGCAAUUAUUUAAAAUUUGAAAAAAAAAACCAACCCACACCUCCUUUGGAAUCUAUGAAGUGAUGGGGGAAUUAUGUUAAAAUUCUCCAGAGAAUCUAAUCCUACUUUCUCGUUUGAUUUAUGAUCGUCUUUAACAGUGGGGGAGUGGUGGGGGUUUUCUUUUUGCAAAAUAGUUGCGGCAAUAGAAAUUCUGCUUGAGAAAGCAAUAUGGAAAUAUGCUGGUGACUGCUUUAAAUGCAGGUCACGUAUGACAUAAUCCGCCUGCCAGUGGAAAAACCCCACCAGCUCUUGAGAGAGAGCCCUGCUCUGAUCAGCAUGAGUAGAUUAUUCCUUCAGCUUUAAUAAUUCAAACUCCCUGUCUGCCUUACAGGGAGUUUUCCUCUUGCCUGGAAGACACAUGAUGCUGACUGGGGAGAUCCCCAGUCUGCUUCUUGUGUUUUUAACGAUAAGUUUGUUCUUGAAACUACCAUCUCAAGGAAAAAAGAAAAAGCAUUUUUAUGCUUUUCUUUUUAAGAAGACAAUCCAUAGGGGAUCUAAAAGAUUUAUGUGAACUUGCACUCUCCGGUUACUUAUUUUUUUUUCCCCAAGUAAGAGAAUAAUUAGGUUGGACUGUUUAACUUGUGCUAAUAGUGAAAGAUUAAUCAAAAUCAUAAUUAGCCUGUGUUUCCUGCCUCGGUACCCUGAGCUUCAUUAAUACCUGUCGUGUACCCAAUGUGUUUUCUUGAUAAAAGAUUUGAUGCUAGAGUGUUAAAAAAGAAAGAAAUGCAAUUUGCUGAGUUUUGUGUGUGUGUUUCUGUGUGGUUGUUGUGGGAACAUUUUGCUGAGCUUCAUGCUGUGGGAUUUUGGUUCUUAUGACCCAGGUAUAAAUAGUGAAACCUCAGCGAGCCCCGCAGUCUAUCAGUAGCCUCCGUCCUUCUUGCGUCAGGAUGUGGCUCUCCCGCCGGGCUGGCUGAGGUGUGGCAGCUGCAACGCAUUCCUGUGCUGGUCGGGGCGGUGACACAGCAUCCUCCUGACUGCACACCCUUGAAAAUUUUCCAUCUGAGCAUGGGCCCCACCGUCCUGGGCAACCUUCCACUCUGAGCGGCUGGUGUCAGAGCUUCCUCAAGGAGAAACUUGCCAAAGAUGGUCCUGCCACAUCUCUGCUUUUGCAUGCCUCUACUGUAGAUAUUCACAUCAGGGCUUCCAUGUUGCUGUUAAGAAGACCCCUGUCCUCCUUUUUUCUCUAUUGAGACUCUUCACCCCGCCACCACCUUUCUGCUCUUCUCGUACUUGCAGUCUUGUCUUUCAUCCACAACCCUCAAUAAUGGGAUCUGGGUCUCACCCCUUCUUCCAGGACGGUAAGUGAAUUUUCUCACUGGAGAACCGUUGGGUCUAAGGCCCUUAAAUGUCAAGGUAACGUGCAGCAAUAGACUUUGUGAAACCCUGAAGAUAAGUGUUCCAGCAGCCUUUACUGUUAUCUGAUUGUGAAGCCAGUCAAGCCUCGGUAAUCUUUAGCUACUCUAUUUAAAAAAGAAUUAUAGCACUGUGCUAGCUGGGUUGAAGCUCAGAUGGUGAAUUUCUCUCUGUUUAAAAGGCCAACAACUAUAAGAUCUUGGAAACCCACAUGGUAAUUCAGAUUGUCUCAAAAUUUGCUCUUUCUCUGAAGACAGAAGGUAAGGCAAUCACUGAGAUUUGGGCACUCUGAAGCUUGCAGCCUGCCCAGGUCGCGGUCCCGAUCUCACAGCUCCUUUUGUUUUGUGUGCAUGCUGAAGCCUAAACCUGCUGUUUGGCUUAUCCUCGACUGAAUCUGAGUUACUGGAGAUUUACGUCAUGUCUGACAUCCUUUGGCAGGAGCAGUGCAGCGUUAAAGGUAAUUAAGGAUAACAUUCGUAACACCAAAUCAGGAUGAGAAAAACUGGGAGAGAAGAAUGAGUGUGUGCAGCAAAAUUAGGUGAAUAUAAGGAUGUGUUGUCAGCAUCUUACUACAGACCUGAACAUCUCUAGGCAACUUGAUGUAAUCACAAAACCUGAGCUGCGUUUGUGCUUUGUGAAUUUAAAUCUUAUGUUGUCAACUUUCUGUUAACUUGUGUAGUGAACUGCACCAGCUGAGGUUCUGGGAUGAACACAGCACUCCAAUAUACUCUGCAACCCACGGACUCACCCUGGUUACGUUACUGAGGGAUGUGGGCACUGACAGUAACUCCACACGUGAAUGGUGCAGAUAUUUGUUAUGGUCUGUGCCUUUCUUAUUGCAUGAGCUACACACAUCCCAGUAUCAGUAGCCCAGUGUCACUCAGUGCUUUGUGACUCAGCAAAGAAAGAAAUAGCUCCAAACAUGGCUAUGUAUGGAUUUUCCAACUAGUUCCAUGCUACUUCCCAUUCCUGCUCCUCGGAGCUUUCUUUUUAAUGUGACAGAUGAGUGGGAGACAAGAGGUGAGGCUGGUGGAAAUUCUCUUUCAUGUGUUUCUCUUGUCUAAGUAGGCCAAUUGACAUCAUGAUUAUUUCUUUCAUCAGUUGAGGAACCUCCUGUCCUACAACAGUGACAAAUAAAAAGAAAACAUCUUUUCUCCAUUGCUGUCUUUCUCAUAUGGGUAGAUAAAAGAAGUAGUAUUUGUUUUAAUAUAUUCCUUUAUCUGAGCGGGGACUUCAAAGAAGCUGCAUGUGUUGCUGUUAUAUAAAACAGAUAAUAGUAUUAAUCAGAUACAUUUCACCUCACAACAGCUGCAACAUCAUAUUAAAGGUGGGAAAGGACUGUAAUACAGUAAAUAUUUGCCCCAAAUGCAAAGCACCAGUCUGAUUAUCGCAGCUCUUUCUCUCCUAAUCAUGAUCAUAAUUUCUUUUUCCUCCUUUGUCUCAUUUGAACUGCCAUACUAGCAAAAACAAAGGGACAGCUAAUUCCUAGAAAGAAAGCCACUGAUUCCUAUCAUCCAGAGGAAGAGACAACAUGGUUGAUGACCUUGUGCGGUCAGAGGCAACGCAAACCCGUUUGCAGUGAAGAACAGAAACCUGAAUAAGAGGUGGUUCAUCAUCUGUGUUGUCUGGAAAGUUUGUCACAAGAAAAAAUUAUGCAAGAGCAAUUGACCAUGUGAAGGGAGAACAAUCCAGGGCUUCAUGACAGUGUUACUCUCAGUUUAGCUGGUAUUGCUUAUAUUGGCUUAUUAGCUCCAUUUAAGCUUAAAGAAGGCUAAAAAGAGACUUCACUGGAGCUCUGCACAAACAAGAGAGUUGUCCUAUGUAACUUCAACUAAGUUAUGAAAUUGAUAAAAAAAAAAUCACCUUUUUUAAUUCCUGUUCUUUUGAGUAGUGCUGCACUUCAGGGUUUGAGUUAUGUUACUAUUUGGGUAAUUUUCAACUUUCAUAUAACAAAUUCAUAUUGGUAUGUGAUCAGAUGCUGCAAUCUGUGGAAAAAACACUGCCCAUUUUUUUUUUUUUGCUUUGGCAUUUCCCUGUUUUUAUAAUCAGGACAGUCUAUGACUUUAAUGGCCUGCUCUUUAAUUAUGCUCUGGGGAAAAAAUAAAGUAAUUUUCUUUUCCUACAGCUAUUACUUGUAAAUUUCACUGGAUGUCUCCCAAACUGUAUGCUUAUCAAAACACUUAGCUACUUGUUUAUCUCUUGUUGUCUUCAUGUACUAUUUCUCUCCCUCAACAUAUCCUGAUCUCUUUACCUUUCCUUUUUUCAGGAGCCAUUCUGCAGCGCCGACCAACCAUGCCACCUUCUGCUCUACUUCUUCAAGUUCUGCAAUAGCCCUUUGAAACAAAGAUCUGCUUUCUGAUAUUUUUGAGGUUAAAUUAGAUUAUUUUUUGUAAUUAGAUGAAGCUGCAUGAAAGAUCUGUUGGGGGCAGAAAGCUGUUUUCUGCUCUGUUCUUGAUUUCUACCCUAGUAAGUCUUAAUACUCAUUAAGGACAGGCCUAUGCCCCUAAUGUUUUAUUUGCAUUUUUGACCGCUGUUAGGUGUGGUUCUUAUGUUUACACGGAACUGCCUCAAAUGGCUCUAAGCUUCUUCCUGAGCAAUAAUAGCUAAGAUAAAACCUAUAACUGGAUAUGUUUGCCAUUAAAGUCUCCACUCUUCCCAUAUGUGAUGUUUUGCAUUUGUUGAUGCAGAACAUCACCUACUAUUUUAUUACGAGUAAAUACACUUGAGAUAGUGAUACCCAUCUUCAACGCUUCUCUGUUACUUCUCACUCUGAUUCCCCUGAAGAAAUUCUGUUUUCAGUAGACUUCACUAUUCCACCAUGUUUUUCAUUUCCUUUUCCACAUCAGAAGAAUGUAGCAGUAUGCAUGUGGCUGACCCUGUCGUGAGACAAAAGUGAACCAGAUAAUCUCUUGGUAUCUCCUGUUGAGUCCAUGCUUAAGAAUUACAGCUUCAACCCCAGAAUGCACCCAUUAAUGGUAAGACAUUUGGUUCCACUGUUUUUUACAGUGGAAAUGACUGUUUUUUUCCUCUAAAUCCAGUCAUUUAGGAGGUCCAAACUGUAGACCUUCUGUUGUGGUCUGACGUUAUUCAGUCAUCUUGGCAGUAGUCGAAGCCUCUGCAUGUUACUGUGUUUCCUACUGCUGUAAUCUAUCCGGUAUUUCAAGGUCAGCCCCUUAAAGCUGCACAAAGGGAAGGGAAGCCUGAGUUCAGUCCUGAGCUGAGUCACACAAGUACCCCAUGAGUUGAAGGAGACUUGGACCUUUGUCUCUGCCCGGAGCAGAAGAAGAAUGUUCUCACUUCUGUAAGGUGCCCUAGCGGAACAGAUACGGUGCUCUGGAGUGAAGAAUUGAGAGAGAGCAGAGAAUUCAGAGGACGGGAUCUGGGAGCAAACCACCAUGCAAAGUUCAUCCAGCCACCAGUACACAGCAGAACCAGCGCCACCAGAAAAACAGAAAGUAUUUGGAGAUGUCUUACUGGGAGGCACCAAAACACCUACUUUUCUGUCCAUGCGGCUUUGCUAUAGAAGCUGGCUUCCUACCGGGAGGCUUGUUUUUGUGGUACCACUGAGAGGUAAGCCAAGCCUGCUGAACUCCACAGAUUACCAUCCAUGCCUACUGUCCACGUAGGCUCCAGUGGGUCAGUAUUAGGGAAUUACUGUGAUCUUCCUUUCUUAAUUACAGGGAAAACGACGUUUAAAAAGUUAUUUGCAAACAUCUCCAUUGGUUGGAGAACUUACCAGUGAAAGGAGCAGAGGUAAUGUGAGGCGACUCAUGCUUAAAGGCUUACUCUGUUGUGGCACCUUUGCUUUUCUGCUCGGAAAUGGCUAGGACAGGAAGGAAAACACUAAGAGGUGACUCUAGGUAUAUAGUUUAUACCUGUGAAAUGUUGCUCUGCCUGGUAGAGUGCCAGAGACACAAUGUCAGAAGGUGCAAGAGGUUCUCUGCGCCAGCAAUCCCCAUUUCUUCCCUCAAGCCGUCCUUUUGGCAGUGCUAGCUCGUGUAAGCUGGUGUGACAGUCCCAAAAAGUGUCAGUGUCACUUGUGUUGAUUUGGUCUACAAGGCCAGGGAAGACUGAGGAUUCCAAGGUGGGACAGUACAUUGCUGUUUUAUGUUUCUUCAGCCGGUGAGAGAGGGCUGAAGAACGCCCAACCUCACUGUAACUCUAGAUCUGACAUGUAAAGACAGGCAAGGACUGUGUUCCUGAGGACCUGUCUCUUCCAGCCCCCACUUCUCCUGGCGCUGAGAGGUACUUUUGCAGCUGUAUGUGAGACGAUGACCUCUGCGGAGCUGCUUACUGCUCUGCUGCGUGCAGUCUGUCUGUUUGCUGGUCAAAUGGAAAACAACAAUAUCUCUGCUCAGUGCAAAAGAACAAUAGACUGGAAACUACUUAAGCUUGCUGUUUUGUCUUAGCCGGGUGCUCUUCUCCCUGUUCCUGUUGCCUGCUGCUCCCUUUGUAACAGCGGCUUUGUAAGGUCUGACAUCCCGCAGCUCAGCGGGGGAAGGGUGUGCACACCUUGAGAAUGAAUAUUGCCUUUUGCUAGUUUUAAAUACAACUGACGGGCUGAAGUGCAUUAGUCAUAUCAACAUAGUUGGAAUGAAUGCAUUAUGCAUGCAUCCUUAAUCAAAUCCUCCCCAAAUAAUUUCUUCUCCUGUCUACGUUCCCUUGUCUACAGAAAUCAUUGAGUCCCUUGCCACUGCUUUUCAUACUAUGUAGUCUGUCUGUAGGCACUUGUUCUUCAAAGCCUUUAAUAUUAGCAUUAGAGUGCUAAGUAAUAAACAGGCAUAUGGAGUUGAAAGGGAAUUCCUCUCUUUUGAGUAUUCACAGACAUCAAUGCAUUCUCCUGUGGAAAAUGUUUAGAUGUUUUUCUGUGAGGCAGAUAAAUUCAUCAUCACUGUAACGUUGUCAAGUGAAGUAAAACUUUUAUUUGGAGAACUUCCUUCCUCUAACUUCUAAUUUAAUCUUCUAUAGCAUCUUCUGUUCGAGAAUCUCAGAGAAGUUCACGUGGCAAUAAUUUUCCAGCACCACUGAAAGGUGGAAAAUAUUGAGCCCUACGCCAUAGAUGAUGGGUGUAAGAUAGAGGAGAAAUAAUUUACCAGGUAUUUAUCAACAAACAGCUGUAAUACGUCAAGACUUAGUGGGUCCUUGGGAAGGGCAGGGGCCUCCUAUUGUCCUCCGUCCAUGCAAAUGUCCAGGGCUCACUUUCUGUUUCAGCACAAUCAGUUUGAAAACACAGGAAAAAAAAUAAUGAAAAUCUUGGCUGUGCUGUGCAUUUUUCAGAUUCUGCAGGACGAGAAAGAUUCCAAGUUGUGUCAUGGCUUGGAGUCUUGAAACAUGCAGCAUACAUAAAGUACAGGGCUGGACUCUAUAGCAAACGAGAGGCUUAGGUGUGAAAGGACAUUAGCAACGAAUACUGUCUCAAUGAAAUUAUUUGGCUACUGCUGAGCAAGACCCAAAACAGUCUUCCUGGUCACUUUCUCUGUGGACAUAUUGCAGGCUGGAAGCAUGGAAGUAAAUGCUGAAAUUCUGGGGAAACGGCCCUGCAAAAUCAUCUGUAAUGAAUUGUCCUCUGAACUACGUUAAAGCCAUCCAUCAUGAAUUUCAGUCAACUUUGACUGCGAUAGCUUGGUCUUGGAUAUUAAAAGAACGUUUCUCUUGAAGUCCCCCAAAUAACUGCGAUAAGUGUUUUCAGUGUGAUUUCAUCCCUGUUGUGAAAUCUGGCAAAGUUACCUUUGCGAGCAGCAGAAAAAAGGAGAGAGUGACAAUUCCUGACGGACAGAGCAGAAGCUUGAAAAAACAGAUUCGGCUUUCUCUCUGUUCUCGCUGGUAGCUGGGGCUGGAGCAAGGAAGAAACCCCGAGUCCCCUUCUUCAUGCUGGUGCACACCAAUCACUACUGUGAGCGGAUUGGUUUCUCAGCCCUGUUGCCUCAUAGCCAAAGUUUGUUCAAAACUGCCCACAAUUUUGUCCAAAAUGUUCAGUUCUGCCUGCCGCAGCGGUCUCCGGCCCAUCCAGGUCACUGAUUCCUGAAAGCCACCACAUUCGUGGCAGAUGAUAAAUCAAAAGUCAGGGCUGGCUGGACUGCUGGAGGAAAAGAUAGUGAUCACCAGGAGUGAGAACUGUUGGCUUCUGACCCUCUUAAAUUUUUUCUUACGAUCAUUCCGUGUUAUGUCUCUUGUCUUGUUUUUCAUCAUUAAAACCCUUGUUGUCUUAGAUGGUGACAAAGAUUUUCAUUUUAAGUUAUAGUUGGGUUAACAAUCUCUCCUUCAAGUCACACGCAGACUAAAACGCCUCUAUAAAGUCUCCCUGGAUAGAUGCUCAGUUUUAGUAAACUUUAGAACUGAAUGUGAACCUCAACAGCAUUUUCUGACUGAAAGAUGUGAAAGAUAAAUCCCUAACCUUUUGUGUUGAUGUGAGAUCCUCUGAGAAAUCCCGGCAUGGAAAGGAAACACUUUAAAACUUUCUUACUCCUAUGCUUGUCUACUUUAUAUAUAAUUUAUAUAAUGUGUAUAAUUUCUGUGAUUCACCAAGGAAUUCAUUUUCAAAAAGCAAAGAUGGAAAUAUUUGCCAGACACUGGAGUGAGCUUUGCUCUAAUGUUAAUGUUGUACAGAACUGAGAAAAAAAAUUAAUGUAAUCAAAUAGAUGAUACCUCUUGCAGCGUUAACUUAUUUGACGAGUAAACAUGGAAUUAAAUUGUCCUGAAAAUGUGGACUCAGAGGAAGAAAAGAAAGUGAAAUCUAAGUUUAAGUUGAUGGUGAGGCUUUGUUUUAAGUUUAACAAACCCUUUUCUAAUUUUUUGGGGGGCUUUCGCCUCCAGAAGCGUGCUUAGAAAGGAAACCUGUAGUACGUAAAUGCGGUGAGACAUGAGUGGCAAUGAGGUGUCAGCAAUAUGUGGAGCUGAUGAGAGUAACGCAUCGGCCAGAUUAGGAAAACAGGUAUUAUCUCAUCAGCUACAAGACUGCUUCAAGCCUUUCCUCCACAUUUUUAUUCUCUAACAUACUAGACUGCAAGCAUUACUAGUGAGCCACAAUACACACUUCUUUUUGAGCUGCUUGAAAGAUAGGUGAUCUGUGAAAUGGUGAUACAGCUGAUAUAACUUGAUUUGGUCUGCAACAGCUGAGUCUGCUGGUGCUUUUUGCAGUACGAUGAUAGCUUAUGCAUAAAUAAAACUGUGUCUCCAUUUGGGAAUAAAUCUGAUGUGCUGGGCAAGAGAAUAAGAGAAAAACAACAACAAUAAUAAUUAUGGCAAUAAUGUAGAAUCUAAUGAAGUAAAGCCUGGGACAGUUUCCUCUGAGGAUAUGUUUUUUCCUCCUCUUAGCUCACUAUAACUCCGUUGAAUAUAAACUGCAUGACUUGAUCAUUUUCUCUUUUACAAUACAACUGAUGGAGCUAUGAACAGCAUUUGUAAUCUUUAAAAGAAUGCAAGUAAAAUAUUGGAUUUUUUUGCUAGACAUAGAACCUCAGAAUCAUAGGGUUGGAAGGGACCUUAAAGAUCAUCCUGUCCCACCCCCUGCCACGGGCAGGGACAUCCCACUGGAUCAGGCUGCCCAAGGCUCCAUCCAACCUGGCCUUGAGCACCUCCAUGGAUGGGGCAGCCAAAACCUCCCUGGGCAACCUGGGCCAGUGCCUCACCGCUCUCGUGGUGAAGAAAUUCUUCCUGAUGUCUAUAUUACCAGAUAAUAAAGUGAGACUGACUUCAGCUGAACUUCAUCUGCACAAAUUUCCUUACUACAGUGGCAAACAGCACCUUUGUAGUCCUUUUGUGCAGCCUGACCUGGCUUCGAAAGACCACAGACUUUCUUUUUCUUCCUAAAUUCCAUAGGAAUUCCUGGUCCCUAGAAAAUAUCCAUAUGGACCAUGUGGUUUUCUUUGUUUAACUGCUUUUCAAGGUCCAGAUUUGAUUGGAAAUUGCAUCUUUAAUCUGAUAACACGGUUUCUAGUCUUGUAAAAGGCAGGGAAUUUGCUUGAGAUUGUUCAAGAACCAAGUGAAGAAUAUUUUGGUUCUAGAAGCACAGUACAGGUUAGAUUUCUGUAGAGCUGACACCAUUGUAUGAUGUCAAGGUACCCUUAUGGCCACAUAAUGCGAACAUUUCCAGCUGAAAAUAAGGCUAUAGUCAAGUCCACUGAAGUGGAUAUCCAUUCUCAGCAUCAUUAUUCCUCCUCCUUUUUGCCUCUUUCGUGCUUCAACUUGUGUCCAGUGACUACUUCAUGCUUUAUUAAAAGUUUUAAAUGUAGAGAAUAAUUACUGUCAUAGUAUUACAGUCCUAUCUGAGAAAGGUUUUAGUCAAUGGUUGCUUAUAAAUGACAGAUCGGGUGACUACACAAGAGCAAAAUUCAGAGAAAACCUCAAAGUCAAUCACCAUAAUCUGUGAAUGUGUCACUGCGUGUUUGGCAGCAGACUGCGUGUGGACAGUGAUUGACAGGUAUACUCAGCUAUAUUAAUCUGGUUGUACGUACUGUGUUCCAAACAGAAACAAGAUGACAAGAACAAAAAUGUGUUCAUCAGAACAGGGACGUGGAAUCAACAUGUCAUUACUACGGCUUUAAAAACCUGAAAAAGUAAUUAAAUACAGAAUUUAAACAAAAAAAACCCCCGUGCGUACGUUGCUGUGUUUUGAUGAUAUUUAAAAUUAAAAAAAGAGUACCUAACCUUCCACCAGUCUCUUUCAAGUACGUUGUUGACCUUUGAGAGCAGAAUUUAAUUUUUGUUUUUAAGGAGAAUAGAGAAUUCAAUUCUGCAUUCAAUUAUUGCCACUGUUUUUAAGUCUAACUCCAUUGUUCGUGCUCUACAGUAUCAGUUUAAUUUAGAAUCCUGAAUGGCAUAAUAGUAUUUAUUCUUGGUCAUUACAGAAGCCCAGAAGCCAUGUGAGAAUUCAAGAGCUCUACUAAAACAACAAAAUGGAAAACAGAAAAACACUGCAAACCGAGCAAAGCAAAAAUACCUCAUUUAAAUAUCUGUUGCACCAUCCAGAUUCACGUGCUUUUAAAAAAUAGAUUAAUCUGAUAUUUCUUCAAAACGUUUGUCUGUGCCUGGGGUGAAAAGUGUCAGAUCAGUUUGGUAAAAUUUGGCAAUUGAAAUGCUGAUAAAAGGAUUUACCUUUUACUGUAUUAACAAGUAUUUUUAUGCAAUUUUAUGUUCAAAAUUUGUGAAGAUACUUCAAAUUUCCUUCCCUGACGCAGCAGAUGCCUUUCUAAAUCACUUUUCUUCAUGUAAACCCAUCUCUGUUUAGCAUGAACACACUUCCAUUGCUAAAGGAAACUAAUAGUAGCAGGCGGCAAGUACUGUUUAUAUUGUGCUGUCUUAUUAUUUGUAAUUAGGAUAUGAAACGUUGUAAAAUAAUACAUUUUUUGCUUCUAUUCAUAUUGUCUCAGUGCUUCUGCAAAACUACUGGCCUGCAUUAUUGCUGGUUGCAGAGCCCGACCAAACAGUAAGGCCAAAGCCAGGACACUUGCUCUUGUCAAGGCAAGACAGACAAGACGUUACGAUGCCCAAAGUCUUCGCCGAUUGUGGAGUCAAUUACAGUGCUCUUCCUCCCACCACGGCAAUCAUAAGAAGCAGCUUUCCUUCUUACAUAAUUUGUUGCUAUGCUGGCAGUGAUUUCCCCUUUUGUUUCUUAGUCUGGCUGUUAUUUUCAGCAAAACAAGGUCUUUCUAUUCUUCAGACAAUCAUUCCUAAAGUCUGACAAGAUACAACGAGAAAUAACAUCUCCUCACUAAGUGACACUGUUUCUUACGUGAGGUGUUCGCUGAAUGUAGAGGAGCAGUCUGGGAUCUGCACCACAGACCAUUAACCUGAGUGCAACUGAGGCAGAGAAGAGCAUUCUAGCUCUCCACACAGUAUUUCUUAAGUGACAGAAAAUUAUAGGGACUUUAAAGCUGUGUUACUGAAAUAGAGUCCCUGAUGCUUUGGCUGCUUCUUAUCUUUCUCAAGGAGCAUCACGAAAACCUUCCAUAUUUUCUGUUAGGCUGUACAGUGAUUACAUUUUUAAAGAUAAAUAAAUAAGUAAAAUAUGUUCAGCUCUAAAAAAAUUUUCCUUUUAUUCAGCCCAUAAGUUGAACGAAAAAAAAGUGUGUGAAACAGAUUGCGUGACUGUCAAUAUUAGUAAUACUUGAGUAAGAGAAAUUAGAUCCCAUUACUCAUCUGUACCAUCUUCUCUGUUUUUCUUAAAAGCCCAAAGACUACAGAUUUCUUUGCACUUCCUAGUUGCAGGAAUAAAAAGUGAUGCAUUUUAAGAUGUUCUGGGACAUUAUUCUUUACCUAAUGCAGAUGUUUCUGUAUAGGUGUUAAGCAGCCCAAAUCUCUGACUCUUGUGCCCUAGAGCUCAGCAUUUACAUAGAUCUAUAUGGAAGAAGCGCUACAGACUGGGGGAAGAGUGGCCGGAGAGCUGCACGGAAGAGAAGGACCUGGGGGUGCUGGUUGACAGCCGACUGAACAUGAGCCAGCAGUGUGCCCAGGGGGCCAAGAAGGCCAAUGGCAUCUUGGCUUGGAUCAGAAAUGGGGUCACCAGCAGGGCCAGGGAGGGGAUUCUCCCUCUGUACUCGGCACUGGUGAGACCGCACCUUGAAUACUGUGUUCAGUUCUGGACCCCUCACCACAAGAAGGAUGUUGAGGCUCUGGAGUGUGUCCAGAGAAGAGCAACGAAGCUGGUGAGGGGCUGGAGAACAAGUCUGACGAGGAGCGGCUGAGAAGAGGACGGAGCUGGGCUCUUCUCCCAAGUGACAGGGGACAGGACAAGAGGGAAUGGCCUCGAGCUCCACCAGGGGAGGGCCAGGCUGGAUAUCAGAAAAAAAUUCUUCACAGAAAGAGUCAUUGGGUACUGGAACAGCUGCCCAGGGAGGGGGUCGAGUCGCCUUCCCUGGAGGUGUUUAAGGAACGGGUGGAUGAAGUGCUGAGGGACAUGGUUUAGGGAGUGUUAGGAAUGGUUGGACUCGAUGAUCCAAUGGGUCCUUUCCAACCUGGUGAUUCUGUGAUUCUGUGAUUCUGUGAUUAUUAUUAAUGCUUUUAUCUAUGCACAUAGCAGAUUUAUAGAACAAAUGUGUUAAAGAUUAGAGUAUUAUGUGGUGUGGAUCUGAAGCCUGACUUACGCAGAUAAGUGAUCCAACGUAAGGACGCAUGUUGUCUCCAUUUCCGCGGUUUGCAGAAUGCAGAUUUAUAAAUGAAAAAGUUUGGAUCAUUUCAGCUCCAAAGGAAUCUUCUCAAAGCUAUACAUCUGAAGCUUUUUUUUUUCCAAUUAAGAUUGGAUAGAAUUCCAGCAGCUAUUGUUCAGAAGUUUUGCUCUACUUCUUGUUUGAUUUAAGUGCAUGAACUCACUGCAGCGAAUGGAGAGCUUCCUAGAAGUUUUCUUACCUGAGUCAAACAGUAUGUUGUAUUUCAUGAAGCCCAGUUUUUCGUAGCCCAUCCUGUAGCCAACAGAACAUCUUGCUGUUUCCAAAACACACGUAGAGACAUUCUCUUGGACCGCUAGAGACCAAGCACGGAGGUUUUGAUCGCAUGCAGCUUUCUCUCCGCUGAAUAAUAAGUUUCACAGAAUUUCAUAGGAAUUUACUGCAGAGUUAUCUACUGCAAAGCAGGAUCUACUUUAGUAAUUCUGCAGAUCUUCUAAAACAAAUUCAUAAAGAAUUUCCCUGUUUUCUUCCAGGCAAUGGUUUGAUAAUAAGUACAAAAGGUGAAACUUUUGAUAUGAAAGGCUGAGUUGGUUUACGCGACCUGGAAAUAAAUUUUUCCAAGCAGCUCUCUGUACCAUUUGCACGUGAUGUUGAUACUCCACUGUGUCUGGUGGACUGUGUGGUCUGUUCUUCUCUUAUGAAGAGCCCAAACAUUUGUGGUUGUGAAGAUGGUUGCUUUCUUCCUUGCUUUCCCAUUUCCACUCUCCCCCUCCCCAAAACACUGAGGAGAGAAGGAUCCUCUGUGACCGCCUUCCACAGCCCACAGCGCCUGUCAGAGAAGCAGCAACGGAGGAGCCGUACUGGGACUGCAGUCAAGGAGUGAAGGUUUUCUAAGUGUUGAGGUUGGGAUGGCAAAGUAAACGUCAUGACUGAACACACCAAAUUACUGUCUUCCUCUCCUGUGAUGUACUGUUCAAAGGCAGAAAACACAUCUUGCUCCUCGCAUCUUUCUUUAAAAAUCACUUAAUGGGUAAUCCCUUACAGCAACACUUUGAA